UACGUAGGGCGCAAGCGUUGUCCGGAAUUAUUGGGCGUAAAGAGCUCGUAGGCGGCUUGUCACGUCGGUUGUGAAAGCCCCGGGGCUUUAACCCCGGGUCUGCAGUCGAUACGGGCAGGCUAGAGUGUGGUAGGGGAGAUCGGAAUUCCUGGUGUAGCGGUGAAAUGCGCAGAUAUCAGGAGGAACACCGGUGGCGAAGGCGGAUCUCUGGGCCAUUACUGACGCUGAGGAGCGAAAGCGUGGGGAGCGAACAGG
rnacentral:rRNA from 1 species